AUAUAUUUUCGGAUUCCCCAUCAUUUGACUGUUAAAUGACACUAAAUCCAAACUGAUUAAAAAUCGGAUUUAAUUUUUAAUAUAAUGCGGCAUACACGAAAUUAAAUAUCAUGCUUUUUUGUUGCAGAUUAGUGGAUGCAAAUUUGACAAAAGGGUAUAAAAAUGAAGAUUUCUACAAUGUGAGGUCACUGCGGAAUUUCAGAAAUUAGUGGAUGCAAAUUCGACAAAAGGGUAUAAAAAUGAAGAUUUCUACAAUGUGAGGUCACUGCGGAAUUUCAGAAGUAUAUUUUCGGAUUCCCCAUCAUUUGACUGUUAAAUGACACUAAAUCCAAACUGAUUGAAAAUCGGAUUUAGUUUUUAAUAUAAUGCGGCAUACACGAAAUUAAAUAUCAUGCUUUUCUGUUGCAGAUUAGUGGAUGCAAAUUCGACAAAAGGGUAUAAAAAUGAAGAUUUCUACAGUGAGGUCACUGCCGAAUUUCAGAAAAACUGAUUUUCUAAUCGUUAGCAGAGAAGCUACUACAUAUAUGCAUUUAUGAGGCGUCUCAGGUCAAGAGUUCUCACUGGAAAAACAUCCAAAAAAAUUAUUGUACAGAAAAUUUAAAGGUUUGUAUAUUUCAGGUCGACAUUUUGUUAACCACGACAACGCUAUAUUUACAACAAAAUUUAUCAACAGAUGCUUUGAAAUAAAAAGGAAUAAACAAAUAAAAUCUGUAAAAAAGGAAAGCCAUAAAUAAAGCAAA